CAAGGCGCUGUCAGACUCAGUCUUGACUGCUCGAGUCAUAAGAAUAACGCGCAAUCUCCGUAGGACGUUCCAAGAAAAGCAACGAAUCUGUAUCGUUAUUGUCACAAGGAAUAUAAUAAUCUUUACGAAGAAUUAUUUUCGUGCAAAAUAAUACAUUUUUAGUGUAACAAGUUUUGCCAUAAGACAAGGCCAUUGUAAAACAACCGCUACGAAAGUCGUUGCAUACCUGAUUAACGUAGUUUACGGCCUAUCGAAGUAUUUCAACGGCUGUCAAAUACCCUGAACGACAUCCCUACGCAAUGUUACAUGAAUUUGUCAGAAAAAGUUCGUAGCAUGGUCGAGGAUUAAAAGAAAGCAAAAAGGGCCUGCGACCGUACCCGUACUGCGUUUCUAUAGGUUUACAUAAAGCGCCUGUUUACUAAUAUAAUUAUAUAAAAUCGUUCCAUCACGUCUGACUAUAUCAACCGGAUUAACAGUCUACAGUACACUUCGGGUAAGUUCGGAAUUUUCAAAUCUAAUCCGAAGACAUCCGAACUGCUUUGUGCCGUUGUUAGACGCAAGAACUAAUGAAUUGCCUUUGCGGUUGACUUUCAGUGCUUUCAUGCUACGAACAUAGGACUUACAAUUUAUGGAAUAAACUCUUCGAUUAAUUAACGAAAAUAGAUUUAACGUCGCGACGGCGUUAUUGAAGUCUCAAGAGUGGUCUAUUGUCCGUACUUUUCCACGCCUCGAGAAAUUCGUAUGCCCGUAUAGAUUUAAAAAAUGGAUACUCCACAUACUGACGUCAUAACGACUACGCCGAAGUUUAUAAAGAAUUUUAUGCUACACUAUGUCGACGCGUAUAUCACUGAACGUCCCCAAGUGUCCCUGCGACGUCGUGACGCAUUCGUCAACCGUUUCCUCAUUAAGGCGCAGCCGCAUCUGUCGUUGACGUCGACGAGAAUCGAGCCACUUAAAGGCUCGUAAUGCAUUAAGCUUGCUUAGACAGCGUCACGUGAGAAUUUUACUUGCACUUACGUAAA